GGAUCGGGAUCAGGUACCGGGUA
rnacentral:siRNA from 1 species